CCGCGUGUGUGAUGAAGGUCUUAGGAUCGUAAAGCACUUUCGCCAGGGAUGAUAAUGACAGUACCUGGUAAAGAAACCCCGGCUAACUCCGUGCCAGCAGCCGCGGUAAUACGGAGGGGGUUAGCGUUGUUCGGAAUUACUGGGCGUAAAGCGUACGUAGGCGGAUCAGAAAGUUGGGGGUGAAAUCCCGGGGCUCAACCCCGGAACUGCCUCCAAAACUCCUGGUCUUGAGUUCGAGAGAGGUGAGUGGAAUUCCAAGUGUAGAGGUGAAAUUCGUAGAUAUUUGGAGGAACACCAGUGGCGAAGGCGGCUCACUGGCUCGAUACUGACGCUGAGGUACGAAAGUGUGGGGAGCAAACAGGAUUAGAUACCCUGGUAGUCCACACCGUAAACGAUGAAUGCCAGUCGUCGGGCAGUAUACUGUUCGGUGACACACCUAACGGAUUAAGCAUUCCGCCUGGGGAGUACGGUCGCAAGAUUAAAA
rnacentral:rRNA from 1 species